GAGUUUGAUCCUGGCUCAGGACGAACGCUGGCGGCGUGCUUAACACAUGCAAGUCGAACGGAAAGGCCCUGCUUUUGUGGGGUGCUCGAGUGGCGAACGGGUGAGUAACACGUGAGUAACCUGCCCUCGACUUUGGAUAACUUCAGGAAACUGGGGCUAAUACCGGAUAGGAGCUCCUGCUGCAUGGUGGGGGUUGGAAAGUUUCGGCGGUUGGGGAUGGACUCGCGGCUUAUCAGCUUGUUGGUGGGGUAGUGGCUUACCAAGGCUUUGACGGGUAGCCGGCCUGAGAGGGUGACCGGCCACAUUGGGACUGAGAUGCGGCCCAGACUCCUACGGGAGGCAGCAGUGGGGAAUAUUGCACAAUGGGCGGAAGCCUGAUGCAGCAACGCCGCGUGCGGGAUGACGGCCUCGG
rnacentral:rRNA from 1 species